CUGGUGAGAAUCUCAUGGCUCUUCAAGGUGAAUAUGAUGAUGAUUUCCCUGGGGUUUCUUUCAAUACUCAGAAGCCGCCCCGAGUUGGAAAGCACAUGCAUACUUGGGGAGGCCAGGGGAGGAAAAGGGGGGCGGCUCACUCUGACAGUAAAUGAAGAAAGUGGAAACAAAUUCAAGGAGCAGGCAGAGCUCCCGGUUUCACCAGAGCCCAACGGUUGGUAAUAAGGAUGAGAACAAUGUGCCUUCACUUCCUGGGAUCAGAACAGCACAUGGCCGCACAUGUACGGGUGACUGCUAAGCUGGAUGCGUAGGGGAAAGCAGAGAAAAGGUGAUUUACUGGGACACAGAGACACAGGCUGGAAGAGAUAGCAUGUGUUUCCUUAAAAUUUGAAGCAUUUGGCUGGGCACAGUGGCUCACACCUGUAAUCCCUGCACUUUGGGAGGUAAAGGCAAGAGGAUUUCCUGGGCCCAAG
rnacentral:lncRNA from 10 species